UCACGAGGUGGGCAUCCGCAGGCGGCUU
rnacentral:sRNA from 1 species